rfam:Brachypodium distachyon strain Bd21 chromosome 3, whole genome shotgun sequence.
UCAAUACUCCCUCCGAUCCUAAUUAAUUGUCGAAAUAUUACAUGUAUCUAGACACAUUUUAGACAUAGAUACAUCCAUAUUUGGGCAAAUUUGAGACAACUAAUAUGGAUCGGAGGGAGUAUCAA